rnacentral:lncRNA from 1 species
UUCUUGUUACUUAUUAUUCAAUAAUGAAAUAUAGUGGGGUUCAGCAGAAUGUGGAGAAACAAAAAGAAAUCAAUUGAAAUAUGUUUUGUUUUUAAUGUUUAUCUGAAUUUUCUUGUAAUAGAUCCUAGAUGACCACUCUAGAAUUGAGCAUUUAAAUACACUCAAUCAAAAACAGAACAAAAUAUGUCUACUAAUUCAUCUUUCAUGUUUUCUAUGAGAAAAUAAAACCAAUUCUAAUGUCAGAAAGUGAACAUUAUUAACCUUCUGCAUCAAUUUCUUAUUGUAGCAAUUUAGGGCUCCAUUUCACAGAAUAAACUGUGAUGUGUCCUGUUAGGCAAAGCAUGUUUAACCCUUUUGAUACCCACCUACAUGCAACCACCCUUGUUUCUAUCAUACAAAUUCUGUUUUUAAGUCAUCUAAAAACUUUCCAUAAAAAUUCCAUAUUGAUUCAUGUUCUAAUCACAGCUUAGUAACGAGUUCUUUUACUAGAUUCUUUAUUACUUUCAAAAUUAAUUGAAACCAAAACCGUCCAUGCUGACAGAAAUGCAGCAACAACAUAAUUCAAAGCAUUACUUCUCCAUUUCAUGGUUGUAUUUAUCAUGGAUUCAUCUAUAACUUCUCACUCUCAAUUUUUUUGGCUGUCUUAAUUGUCAGCCUCAUAGUAUCAUCAGGUUCAAACAUCCCGUUGACUUACCCAACUAGAUAUGGCUGUUGUAGACUGUCGCUGAAUACAUCAGAGGUCAAAGAAACACAGAACAAGACCAAGCUUUAUCUUUUUAAUGGAAUUGGUAAAACCAUGUGAAAUUCUUCCAUUUUUAAAAAAAAAGUUGUUCAGAUUCCUCUGGAAAUUAUUGUUUACAGUGUAGACAAUUCUCCUCUUAUAAACUAUUGGUGCAAGUAGUGACCUACUCUUAUGUACUGUUAGUGUGGUCUUUAUAGUGGCCAACUCUUCUUAUGAACUAUUGGUGGGCUCUAUGUGGUUAACAUAGUAGCCAUCUCUUCUGUUUAUUGUGUAAACAACUUUAAUGAAAAUUAAAAAAAUUGAACAACUU